GUUGACCUCGGAUCAUGUAGGGAUACCCGCUGAACUUAAGCAUAUCAA
rnacentral:rRNA from 1 species